GACGGAGCCGUGUUUUUGGCCCAAAAGCGAACGGCCCAGCGAGCAGACUUGUGUCCGUUCAGAAUAAAGUCAUGUGGGCUGCAGAAGCCCCGUGCAUUUUGCUGCGACUCGCUCAAAACCUCACCGUUCGACUGUCGGGUGGAGCGGUGCGCACUGCUUUUCCUGUGCUAUUUGUCUCCUAAAUGGCCUAAAAGUGCAUCCGAUUGCGAGCACCAUUGAUUGUGGGGUGAGCCGAGAUGUCUGGCAAGGGAGUCAAAUGGUUUGGCGUCCCCUGAUGUGCUCCUUGGUGUUUUAAAGGAGAGCUCUUUUGGGGACCUUAAAACACAUGCACUUGUGAGGCCUGGCUGAGACUAGUUUCACGUUGUAUUCGUCAUGUGUCCAGGAGGCACAGGAAAUAAUACACUGUCCAACGACAUGCUUACUUGCACUGUGUGUGUGUGUGAUGUUUUAUUAGUCCUUUAGUUGGAUUUGGAGCCUGCUCUUUGUGCACAAUGUCUCUCUCUCUAUCUGUGUGUGUCUCUUUCAAAAGCGUGUCAUCCAGAUGAGGUGAGCUCACCUUGUCGCUUGACUCCUCCGCAGCGUGACUCGUGCCGGUCUUUGUGUCUGUGGGUCUUGGUGUCUGGCUGUGCGGCCGGCGCUAUGGAGGCUGGCGCCCCAUGUGCUUGUUUGCCCUGAUAUAGGCCUAGAGAGAGCGAUUUGGAGGCUCUCCUCCUCCUCCCCCCUCUUGUACAGGUGGAAGGGCUAGUUUCAAUCGGUGACGUCACUUGCUCAGAGACUAUCUGUUAUUUUAUUGCUGCAACAUAAUUAUUUGUGAUAUUUCUAUAUAUUUUUAGUUUCGCAUUGUUGGUUAAGGGCUUGUACAGUAAGUAAGCAUUUCACUGUAUGGUCUACUACACCUUUUGUAUUCGGCGCAUGUUACAAAUAAAAUUAGAUUUGAUUGCUGUGCUUAUAAAUGGGAAAAAAAUUGCCAAAUAGUUCAUCAACAUUUUAAGCUAAAUGAUCAGGCUCAUUGCUUUUAAAAGGUUUUUGAUGCAAGUGGUUGUAUUAAUUUGGGAUCAAUUGCAUCCCACAACUGUCCCAGAGUAUGUUUGGAAUAUUUAUUUUUUUGCACAAAAGGACAAGUUGACCAAUGGAAUAGGUCAACUUUUGUACUAUGGGAGGUAGUAGAUUGACAUAGGCUAGUGCUUUUGCUGUUCGUUUGGCCUACUCAUCUUGCUGGUAGACGAAAAGUAGCCUAAAUGUGGGACAGUUCUAACAUCUUAAAUAUGUGCACAGUUACGUCCCCGAUGUCUGUCUUCAUUCACUUGUAGCCUACUUCUUAGCUGAAAUGCCUGUGAGAAGGACCCUAUCACUUGAAGGGCAUUUGCUACAUCUGAGAGAGCCAUGCUGAGUGAGAGGUGCUUCGGAGCAUGGCAGCCGGGAGAAGGGAAUUAUAAUUAGCCUAUUAUAUUCAGGCCAAGCUGCCACUUUGGCCGCAAAAGGCAAGGAUUUUUUAAAUGUUUACUGACACCAACCAUAUUCAACGGGUGUUGAGCGUUUGUAAAUUCAUCGGUUAUUCUGCGCUCUUGCACAAUCAGAUGAGAGUGCUCUAAAAUCGGAGUAGAUAGCCAGAGUGAAUCUACGAAUGCAACCUAUUGACUUGAUUAUUCACGUCAUUCUAGCUUAGUGUCACGACUUCUGCCGAAGUCGUUGCCUCUCCUUGUUCGGGCGGUGCUCGGCAUUCGACGUCACCGGUCUUCUAGCCAUCAUUGAUCCACUUUUCAUUUUCCAUUGGUUUUGUCUUGUCUUCCCACACACCUGUUUUCAAUCCCAUUCAUUACCUGUUGUGUAUUUAACCCUCUGUUUCCCCUCAUGUCUUUGUCAGAGAUUGUUUAAUUGUCAGUGUUGUUAUUUUGUUGUGUUGGUGCGCGACGGGUCCUCGUACCCAUGUUUUUUCAUGUCUGUACGUUUUAGUGUUAUGGAGCAUGUUCUGUUGACAUUUAUUAAAAGACUCCAUUUACACUUCAUUUUGACUCCUGC